rnacentral:rRNA from 1 species
AUUGAACGCUGGCGGCAGGCCUAACACAUGCAAGUCGAGCGAGUGGCGGACGGGUGAGUAAUGUAUGGGGAUCUGCCCGAUAGAGGGGGAUAACUACUGGAAACGGUAGCUAAUACCGCAUACUAUCGGAUGAACCCAGAUGGGAUUAGCUAGUAGGUGGGGUAAAGGCUCACCUAGGCGACGAUCUCUAGCUGGUCUGAUAGGAUGACCAGCCACACUGGAAGUGAGAAACGGCCCAGACGCCUACGGGAGGCAGCAGUGGGGAAUAUUGCACAAUGGGCGCAAGCCUGAUGCAGCCAUGCCGCGUGUAUGAAGAAGUCCUUAGGGUUGUAAAGUACUUUCAGCGGGGAGGCGUUACCCGCAGAAGAAGCACCGGCUAACUCCGUGCCAGCAGCCGCGGUAAUAC